GGGGGCGACAUGGCUUCGACGUGGAUCAAGAAACAGAGCAGUGCAUACCGUGGCCCGGAGUACCACGUAAAUACAGCCGGAAACUAGUAAACGCCAACGACGAGCGUUUCGCUCUCGCCGCUUAAACCGGCGAGCGCCGCAGCCACCUGCUCAUAGGUGGUGCCGGGUAAAACCGGCUGCGGUGUCAUUGAUAUGAGCUAAGGGUGUGCCUUGCUGCGCGGCGCUUCACGAAAAAUCAGCAGACCGCGUGUUACCAGCCUGCCCGUUGGCGGGUGAUACGUUAAAUCAAAUAACGAGGCUAAGUAUGUAGGGCUGCCUGUGGAAGGUUUGCGGACGCGGGUUCAAUUCCCGCCGCCUCCACCA
rfam:Rugosibacter aromaticivorans strain Ca6, complete genome.